CCCCCCACCUACUCCCCCCUUAACUCUCGAGUACAUAACCCUCCAUCCAAUCCACGGGGACAGGACCGCGACUCCGCCGCUUGAUUCCUGCCUCCCCUGCGCCCGGCGAUGCGGUGCUGAGCGAGGAGGCGAGCGUCGUGAAGGACACGCGGACGCCCUCUGCGGAAGGAAAGCCAGGCAGUCCUGCUAAUGUUCCCUCAGCUGAGCUUCUAACCGUUACCCCACCUGGUGGUCCUCACUUCAACAUCAUGCUGCACCUCACCCUGCUCCUCCAUCUCCUGGUCCUCUCUCUCUCCCCUGCAGAUGCAUCAAUGCAUGAGGAGGUACCCAACUUCUAUGGAGGUAAGACUC